rnacentral:rRNA from 1 species
AGUGAACGCUGGCGGUAGGCCUAACACAUGCAAGUCGAACGGCAGCACAGUAAGAGCUUGCUCUUACGGGUGGCGAGUGGCGGACGGGUGAGGAAUACAUCGGAAUCUACUUUUUCGUGGGGGAUAACGUAGGGAAACUUACGCUAAUACCGCAUACGACCUACGGGUGAAAGCAGGGGAUCUUCGGACCUUGCGCGAUUGAAUGAGCCGAUGUCGGAUUAGCUAGUUGGCGGGGUAAAGGCCCACCAAGGCGACGAUCCGUAGCUGGUCUGAGAAGCUGAUCAGCCACACUGGAACUGAGACACGGUCCAGACUCCUACGGGAGGCAGCAGUGGGGAAUAUUGGACAAUGGGCGCAAGCCUGAUCCAGCCAUACCGCGUGGGUGAAGAAGGCCUUCGGGUUGUAAAGCCCUUUUGUUGGGAAAGAAAAGCAGCAGGUUAAUACCCCGCUGUUCUGACGGUACCCAAAGAAUAAGCACCGGCUAACUUCGUG